rnacentral:rRNA from 1 species
UACAGAGGGGGCAAGCGUUAUUCGGAAUUAUUGGGCGUAAAGGGCGCGUAGGCGGCUUGGCAAGUGGAAGGUGAAAUCCCUCGGCUUAACCGAGGAACUGCCCUCCAGACUGCUUUGCUUGAGGCCGGGAGAGGUGAGUGGAAUUCCCAGUGUAGCGGUGAAAUGCGUAGAUAUUGGGAGGAACACCAGUGGCGAAGGCGGCUCACUGGACCGGUUCUGACGCUGAGGCUGCGAAAGCGUGGGGAGCAAACGGG